rnacentral:rRNA from 1 species
GGACUACCGGGGUAUCUAAUCCUGUUCGCUCCCCUAGCUUUCGCGCCUCAGCGUCAGUUGCCAGCCAGGACACUGCCUUCGCCUUCGGUAUUCCUCCGGAUAUCUACGCAUUUCACCACUCCACCCGGAAUUCUAUGUCCCUCUCUGGCCCUCAAGUGCUCCAGUUUUCGUCCGGCCUUGCUCGGUUAAGCCGAGCACUGUCACGGCAAACUUAAAGCACCGCCUGCGCGCUCUUUACGCCCAGUAACUCCGGACAACGCUUGCCCCCUACGUAUUACCGCGGCUGCUGGCAC